UCUAAUUUUUUCUAAAAUAUAUUUUAUUUACUUUGAAAAUUCAGUUACUCCCUUGCUCCCUCUGGACCCUAACCUUUUAUUUCUCUUAGAAUAGUGUGAAGAGAAAACAGCUCAUCUCUCCAACUCUUCAUCACUCUCCCUUUUUUGAUGGCAGCGUCGCCAGUAGGUAAUAAAUUACUAACCCUCUCUCUUUUAGAUUAUUUUUCUCCUCUUUUUCUUAGACUGCAAAUCAAUCCUCAUUUUCACUGCUUCCACCCUCUCUCUUCUCUUUUCCUUCUCUUUGAGGGAAACACAAGUAAAAAAAGAAGAGGAAUUUAACAGGCUUGCAAGGAACCCUAACUCCUGUAAACAGUUACCUCUCUCUCUAGCAAUGGAUUUUUUUUCCUGCAAUUUUCCUCCAAGAGGGAAAUCAGGUCGUUCUUGCUCCAUGGUGCUAUUAAAGGUCGAUGUGGAACUCACCAUUGUUGGGGAGAAGCUGUUUUGUUUUGAGAAUCUCUCUCGGAAUUCAUGUCGGAAUGCACUAGAAUUUCUAUCUCUAAACCUUAAGUCAACUCUUUUUUUUUUCCUUUAAGUUCUUAAGGAUAAUCCUUAUGUUUAAAAUGUGUUUCAUUUGGCUGAAGUGUUCACUAAUCCUUAUGAAAAGUGCCAUCUGGCUGAAGUGUGUUGAUUAAACUGAAGGAAAAUUUAUGUACUGAAGUGUAGGUUUGUCGGAACUCUUUA